UACGUAGGGGGCUAGCGUUGUCCGGAAUCAUUGGGCGUAAAGAGCGUGUAGGCGGCCCGGUAAGUCCGCUGUGAAAGUCGGGGGCUCAACCCUCGAAUGCCGGUGGAUACUGUCGGGCUAGAGUGCGGAAGAGGCGAGUGGAAUUCCUGGUGUAGCGGUGAAAUGCGCAGAUAUCAGGAGGAACAUCGAUUGCGAAGGCAGCUCGCUGGGACGUCACUGACGCUGAGACGCGAAAGCGUGGGGAGCAAACAGG
rnacentral:rRNA from 1 species